rnacentral:rRNA from 1 species
GUCCUUUUGAUAAUAAUUUAAGGUCUAACCUGCCCACUGAAAAAUUGAAAGGCCGCGGUAUUUUGACCGUGCUAAGGUAGCAUAAUCAUUAGUUUUUUAAUUGAAAGCUGGAAUGAAUGGUUGGAUAAGAAAAUAACUGUCUCUAUUUAAUUUUCUAUGAAUUUUAUAAAUAAGUCAAAAAGCUUAUGUAUAAUUAAAAGACGAGAAGACCCUAUAGAGUUUAAUAUAAAGGAUUGAUUAAGUUUUUARAAUUUUAAUUAUAAUUUAUUHDUUAUAUUUAAUUGGGGUGAUUGAAAAAUUUAAUAAACUUUUUUUUAAUAGAUUCAUUAAUAAAUGUUUACUUGAUCCAUAUUUUAUGAUUAUAAGAAUAAAUUACCUUAGGGAUAACAGCGUAAUUUUUCUUGAAAGUUCAAAUCGAAAGAAAAGAUUGCGACCUCGAUGUUGGAUUAAAAUUAAUUUUUGGUGUAGAGGCUAAGAAUUUUAGGUCUGUUCGACCUUUGAAAUUUUACAUGA